CGAAACCGAGUGAUCUAGCCAUGGGCAGGUUGAAGGUUGAGUAACAUCAACUGGAGGACCGAACCGACUAAUGUUGAAAAAUUAGCGGAUGACUUGUGGCUAGGGGUGAAAGGCCAAUCAAACUCGGAGAUAGCUGGUUCUCCCCGAAAGCUAUUUAGGUAGCGCCUCGGACGAAUACUACUGGGGGUAGAGCACUGUUAAGGCUAGGGGGUCAUCCCGACUUACCAACCCUUUGCAAACUCCGAAUACCAGUAAGUACUAUCCGGGAGACACACGGCGGGUGCUAACGUCCGUCGUGGAGAGGGAAACAACCCAGACCGCCAGCUAAGGUCCCAAAUUACAGCUAAGUGGGAAACGAUGUGGGAAGGCUUAGACAGCUAGGAUGUUGGCUUAGAAGCAGCCAUCAUUUAAAGAAAGCGUAAUAGCUCACUAGUCGAGUCGGCCUGCGCGGAAGAUGUAACGGGGCUAAGUU
rnacentral:rRNA from 1 species